rnacentral:rRNA from 1 species
GAAAACUCCGGUGGUAAAAGAUGGGCAUGCGUUGUAUUAGCUAGUUGGUGAGGUAACGGCUCACCAAGGCGACGAUACAUAGGGGGACUGAGAGGUUAACCCCCCACAUUGGUACUGAGACACGGACCAAACUCCUACGGGAGGCAGCAGUGAGGAAUAUUGGUCAAUGGACGCAAGUCUGAACCAGCCAUGCCGCGUGCAGGAAGACGGCUCUAUGAGUUGUAAACUGCUUUUGUACGAGGGUAAAUGCAGGUACGUGUAUCUGUUUGAAAGUAUCGUACGAAUAAGGAUCGGCUAACUCCGUGCCAGCAGCCGCGGUAAUACGGAGGAUCCAAGCGUUAUCCGGAUUUAUUGGGUUUAAAGGGUGCGUAGGCGGUUUUAUAAGUUAGAGGUGAAAUCUCGGGGCUCAACUCCGAAAUUGCCUCUAAUACUGUAGGACUAGAGAGUAGUUGCGGUAGGCGGAAUGUAUGGUGUAGCGGUGAAAUGCUUAGAGAUCAUACAGAACACCGAUUGCGAAGGCAGCUUACCAAACUAUAUCUGACGUUGAGGCACGAAAGCGUGGGGAGCAAACAGGAUUAGAUACCCUGGUAGUCCACGCAGUAAUUCUUGAUAACUCGUUGUCGGCGAUACACAGUCG